AUGGGUCAUGUGAUGAUUUAAUACGCAUAGUUCAGAUGAUAAUCUGUGAUUAACACUUUGCAUAGUCUUUCGCUCCUAUCUGAUGACCCGU